rnacentral:rRNA from 1 species
AUUGAACGCUGGCGGCAGGCCUAACACAUGCAAGUCGAGCGGAUGAAGGUAGCUUGCUCCUGGAUUCAGCGGCGGACGGGUGAGUAAUGCCUAGGAAUCUGCCUGGUAGUGGGGGAUAACGUCCGGAAACGGGCGCUAAUACCGCAUACGUCCUGAGGGAGAAAGUGGGGGAUCUUCGGACCUCACGCUAUCAGAUGAGCCUAGGUCGGAUUAGCUAGUUGGUGGGGUAAAGGCCUACCAAGGCGACGAUCCGUAACUGGUCUGAGAGGAUGAUCUGUCACACUGGAACUGAGACACGGUCCAGACUCCUACGGGAGGCAGCAGUGGGGAAUAUUGGACAAUGGGCGAAAGCCUGAUCCAGCCAUGCCGCGUGUGUGAAGAAGGUCUUCGGAUUGUAAAGCACUUUAAGUUGGGAGGAAGGGCAGUAAGUUAAUACCUUGCUGUUUUGACGUUACCAACAGAAUAAGCACCGGCUAACUUCGUG